GACGAACGCUGGCGGCGUGCUUAACACAUGCAAGUCGAACGGAAAGGCCCUGCUUUUGUGGGGUGCUCGAGUGGCGAACGGGUGAGUAACACGUGAGUAACCUGCCCUUGACUUUGGGAUAACUUAAGGAAACUGGGGCUAAUCCCGGAUAGGAGCUCCUGCUGCAUGGUGGGGGUUGGAAAGUUUCGGCGGUUGGGGAUGGAAUCGCGGCUUAUCAGCUUGUUGGUGUGGUAGUGGCUUACCAAGGCUUUGACGGGUAGCCGGCCUGGGAGGGGGACCGGCCACGUUGGGACGGAGAUACGGCCCAGACUACUACGGGAGGCAGCAGUGGAGAAUAUUGCACAGUGGGCGGAGGCCUGAUGCAGCAACGCCGCGUGCGGGAUGACGGCCUGCGGGUUGUAAACCGCUUUCGCCUGUGACGAAGCGUGAGUGACGGUAAUGGGUAAAGAAGCACCGGCUAACUACGUG
rnacentral:rRNA from 1 species